rnacentral:rRNA from 1 species
UACGUAGGGUGCAAGCGUUAAUCGGAAUUACUGGGCGUAAAGCGUGCGCAGGCGGUUAUGCAAGACAGAUGUGAAAUCCCCGGGCUCAACCUGGGAACUGCAUUUGUGACUGCAUAGCUAGAGUGCGGCAGAGGGAGAUGGAAUUCCGCGUGUAGCAGUGAAAUGCGUAGAUAUGCGGAGGAACACCGAUGGCGAAGGCAAUCUCCUGGGCCUGCACUGACGCUCAUGCACGAAAGCAUGGGGAGCAAACAGG